UACGGAGGGUGCAAGCGUUAUCCGGAUUCACUGGGUUUAACGGGUGCGUAGGUGGAUUAGUAAGUCAGUGGUGAAAUCUCCGGGCUUAACCCGGAAACUGCCAUUGAUACUAUUAGUCUUGAAUACCGUGGAGGUCAGCGGAAUAUGUCAUGUAGCGGUGAAAUGCUUAGAUAUGACAUAGAACACCAAUUGCGAAGGCAGCUGGCUACACGAAUAUUGACACUCAGGCACGAAAGCGUGGGGAUCAAACAGG
rnacentral:rRNA from 1 species